rnacentral:lncRNA from 1 species
CUCCAAUAAAUUUGGCUCACGCCGCUGAAGUCUCUCUUUGGGAAUCCAUGUACCGUCAGAAUCAAGUCGAUCUAUCCAACGAACAAGAAAGCACUGAAUCUCUCUAUCAUUGGUCAACACAAGCUGUUUAUCCAAAAUAACAUCAAUUUUAUUUUUGUGUGCUGUGAUAGGUGGGAUUGAAGCAGACAUGGCAAAAGAUUCAGUGUGGGAAUUCUCAUGUGGGAGUAGAAACGGGUCAUCAGAGGGGCUAAAAUAGCCGUUGUAAGCAUCGAAGUCCGUAACAAAUAAAAUAGGGUGGUGGUCAUAAUGUGAUAAAAGGUCAUUGACAUAGGCAUUUUGACCAACAUGCUUUGAAAUUUUAAAAAGACCAGCAUUACACGCUUGCAAUAUAACAUAAUCCCCAAUAUUAAAUUCAAAGUAUUGUUUAUGCCAAUCAACUUGAGGUUUAUAUAAUGCUUUACUUGCU